CAAAAGGGGGAGGGAGUAGGGAAGGGUAUGUAUACUAGUGUCCUUCAAAAGGGGGAGGGAGUAGGGAAGGGUAUGUAUACUAGUGUCCUUCAAAAAGGGGGAGGGAGUAGAGAAGGGUAUGUAGAGAUAUGCUGCUUACAAGUGUCCAGAGACAGAGAGAGACAGAGAGUAGAGGACAGGGUGAGGAGGUUGGUAGAGGGAAACACUAUGGGAAACAAGCAACACACACACUUCACUAGUCAUUUGGACAGCCUGAGGUAGUGGAUUAAAAACAACAAUUAUCACUACAGAGAUGGAUUAGGAUUAGGAUUAUAGUCCUGCAGGGUUUUUGACAGGUGUUAGCACUCAACUCUAGAUGAUUAUUAUUAGACAGGAAAUAGUAUCAAAUAUUGAAUUGAUCAAUUGUAUUAGUGCUCUAAUUCUGAUGUAGAAGGUUAGGUUAGCCUGAUAUUAGUCAGUGGUCUUAGUGAGGGAGUACUGUAGCGCUGGGUUUCCCAGUUUCCCCAUCUCUAAUGUGGAAACUAGUGCUUGGUGAGCCAUGAGGCACAAAAUGGCCGCCGUGCAUCACCAAACCGAGGUGGUGUCUACUGCUAGACGGUGGUGGUGGAUGACAUGACGUCAUAGAGUUGGAUAGAGGGCACAUAUGUGCUUCUAAACCAGCCUUUGUGUGACCUCUAUCCACCUCUAUGGGUGGUUUUCAGCAGUUGGCCCUGUGAAUCAGGGAUGUAAUUCAUUCCUCCGAUUCUGUUUGUCGAAAUGCUUCUGAAACGGAAGCAAACGGAACGAAACUGGGAGGGGACCUACCUGAAUUUGUCCCGAUAGAAACUCACAUUUUUUUUGCUGCUUUGCUUCCGUUCGGUUCAUAAAAUGGUAAACGUUUUUCCAUAAUGAACACACCCCAGGUGAAGAACUAGUAGUGAUGUUUAGUGAUGACAGGGGAACAGAUACAUAGGUCACAUGCAUCUAGAGGACGUGUACACACAGACACACUAUGGGGACAGGACUAAAGGAGCGUUGGCUGUGGUUUACUAGGGGGGGGGGACACGAAUUAAGGACGCACAUGGACAGGAAGUCACUCCGGGUGACUUCAAGGUAAAACGACUUCGGAAACAACCAGCUUUAACCAAUGGCUGUACUGGAAAGACCGUAUCGCCCGUCCACAGACUCAAGAGAUACAACGUUAAAAGAAGAA
rnacentral:lncRNA from 13 species